UAUCUCUGUAGAGUCUGCAUAUCAAUAAGCGGAGGAAAAGAAACUAACAUAGGAUUCCCUUAGUAACGGCGAGUGAAGCGGGAAGAGCUCAAAUUUGAAAUCUUCAAGGUUUUACCUUGACGAAUUGUAGUUUAAAGAAGUGUUUUCUGUUAGAUGUUUAGUAGCAAAAGUUCUUUGGAAUAGGGACAUCAUAGAGGGUGAGAAUCCCGUAUUUGACUCAUUACUUCCAGCUUUGUGAUACACUUUCAAAGAGUCGGAUUGUUUGGGAAUGCAGUCCAAAAUGGGUGGUAAAUUUCAUCUAAAGCUAAAUAUUGGCGAGAGACCGAUAGCGAACAAGUACCGUGAGGGAAAGAUGAAAAGAACUUUGAAAAGAGAGUUAAACAGUACGUGAAAUUGUCAAAAGGGAAGCGUUUGACACCAGUGUUGUUUUUCUCGAAAAUCAAUUACAAAUGGCUUGAUUUUGUGUUGUAUUGACCUUAUCAAGCUUUCUUCACUUUUUUCGAGUCUUUCUUAAUGCACUUUUCGGUUAACAAGUCAACAUCAAUUUCUUUUGUUGUAAAAGAGUAUUCGGAAGGUGGCUUUCUUUUCGGAGAAAGUGUCUAUAGCCCUAUACUUCUACAAUCGGAGAGAUUGAGGUCUGCAGCGUAGAUCCUUCGGGGUUAGAUACACUUGUGCUAAGUUGUAGCUUUUCAUAGACAACUUGUUGACUAUGUUUAGUCAUGCGGCUUACUCGCUUGUGCUAUUUUACCUACGCUUAGGAUGUUGACGAGACUGUCGAUCUC
rnacentral:rRNA from 1 species